UCGGAUAUGGUGUAACGGCUAACAUUGCCGCCUCUCAUUACGCAGAAGUGUAAAUAUCGCGGCAGCUCGGGGUUCGAUUCCCCGUAUCCGAA